ensembl:lncRNA
GGGUCAAGUCAGUUCUGACAUCGUUGCUACGGUAUCAUUGGUGAGGUACAUCCUUACCUGUUUUUCUCUUCAAGAGAAUUACAGAAUAUGAUGAGCGGAGAUCUAAUGAGAUAUGAUUAUAUCUCCAUCCUGGCUGGGCGCAACAACCCUCCAGGACCGUUCUGAUUUGAUGAGUGUUGAAAGUAAAAAUCCGUGUUAAAUUCUUUAUGCCUUAUACUUAUCUGAGCAGAAAAACUGGUCCUUGACGGAGACGUCACCGAAUCCCUCUCAGUUCAUGAUGCCUUGUUGAAAGAACUGGUAAAUUUACGAACUGAAGCUUACCAACUCAAAGCUACGCACCGAGACAAAAAAGAGUCAUGCAGGGUUCUGCAGUUCCAAUGCAGAGAGUCAGAGCAGGAAUCCGCUAGUGUCUGUUUGCAGACAAUUGCAGCUCAACAGGCAAAGCGAGGAGACGUUAGAACAGUACAGAUGCCAGAUCCAGGAAAUAAAGUUGAAGCACAGAAAGCUG